UACGUAGGGGGCAAGCGUUGUUCGGAAUUACUGGGCGUAAAGGGCGCGUAGGCGGCACAGCAAGUCGGGAGUGAAAGCCCGGGGCUCAACCCCGGAAUGGCUUUCGAAACUGCUGAGCUAGAGUACAGAAGGGGCAACCGGAAUUCCCAGUGUAGCGGUGAAAUGCGUAGAUAUUGGGAAGAACACCUGAGGCGAAGGCGGGUUGCUGGGCUGAUACUGACGCUGAGGCGCGAAAGCCAGGGGAGGCAAACGGG
rnacentral:rRNA from 1 species